CCUACGGGAGGCAGCAGUGAGGAAUAUUGGUCAAUGGCCGGAAGGCUGAACCAGCCAAGCCGCGUGAAGGACGAAGGUGCCAAGCAUUGUAAACUUCUUUUGUCAAGGGACAAAAUCAGGCUCGAGAGCCUGACCGAGGGUACUUGAAGAAAAAGCAUCGGCUAACUCCGUGCCAGCAGCCGCGGUAAUACGGAGGAUGCGAGCUUUAUCCGGAUUUAUUGGGUUAAGGGGGUGCGGAGGCGGACUGUUAAGUCAGCGGUAAAAGCCCGGGGCUCAACCCCGGCGAGCCGUUGAAACUGGCUGUCUUGAGAUGUCGAGGGGUAUGCGGAAUGCGCAGGGUAGCGGUGAAAUGCU
rnacentral:rRNA from 1 species